AGAGGAGGAGGGGGAAAACGGUGGCAGGAGCUGGGGCGGGGGGGAAAUUGUGGGGACGCGGGCGGAGGCGCGGUGCGCGCCGGCGGUGGCGGGCACGAGCCCCGUGCCUGGAGGAGGAGGAGUCAGACCGGGUAGGAGGGCUAAGGAGGUUCCCGGGAACUCGGGGACCCCCGCACACACUCUCCCCCGCCCCGAUCCCUGGUAACUGACCGUCGCCCGCCUGGCACUAGCAGCGGCGCAGACCCGGGCGGAGUCGGGCUCCUGGGUGCGCUCUGAGCGCCGCUCCCCUCGCCCACGCCGUGCCGGAGGAGCGGAGCCCACGCGCAGCCCCGGGCUGCUCCCCGAAGCUGCUUGCUGGGGCUCCCGAGAGGCCCCAAGGUUCCUGGGGAAGCUGCGGGUGGGUGUUAAUGUGAAGUCGGGAAUGCAAAGUGGCUGCGACGCCCUAGAUCCCUGGGGCCGCGCCCAGCCACCCGUCCCCCAACAUCACCCUGCUGUGGAGCGACGUGGCUGCUAAGAGGAACAAAAAAAAGAGAAUUUUCUACCACUUUUGCCAUUAUCCAGAACCACAUGGCUAGUUGAGAUUAUUGGUUCAAGACAUUGAAGAUGGGUGUCCAUAUAAGAGGGAGGUAAAAGGUUCAAAGUCAGAAAAAGAGAUGUGAUGAUGGAAGAAGAAGUGAGCAUGAUGGAGCCACUAGCCAAGGCAUGCAAGCAGCCUCUAGAAGAUGAAAAAAGCAAGGGACAGAUUCUCCUCCAGAGCCUUCAGAAGGAAUGUAGCUCUGCCACCACCUUGAAUGGCCUUGUGAGAUCUGUUUUGAACUUACAACAUUCUAAAAGAUAAUAAAUUUGUGUUAUUUUAAGCCACUAAGUAUGUGAUAUCUAGUUACAGUGGCAAUAGGAAACUAAUACUAUUUAAUUGCCUUGUAAAUUAUAUUUUACAUGUAAAAAUUAGAUUUAUUUUUUAAAGCUAGAAAAAAGCAAGAAGCUCAUAAUAGCUUAUUGUAUCUGGAGAACAAUAAACAUCCUAAGAAGGCUUGAGUGACUGUUAAGGGUAUGAUUUUAGUAAUAAUAAUGAUAAGAAUUUUGAUGUUCUGGGAUGUCUUUUACCAGCAGCCCAUUUAGUCUGGUUUAUGCACUUUAAAUUUAGUAAUAGUUAAUAGAGAAAAGGAAAAUAUGCUUAGAUUACCCCAUCCAGUUAAGUUCAAAUCCAUUUUAACAUAGAGUAUAGUCAUGUGCAGCUUAAUGACAGGAAUAUUUUCUGAGAAAUGCCUCAUUAGCCAAUUUCAUCACUGUGCAAACAUCACAAUGCGCUCUUACACAAAUCUAGAUUGCAUAGCCUACCUCACAUGUAGAGUUAACCUAUUGCUCCUAGGCUACAAACCUGAACAGUGUGUUAUCUGUACUAAAUAUGAUUGAGAAUUGUCACAAUGUAAGUUUUUGUGUAUAUAAAUACAUCUAAACAUAGAAAAGGUGAAAUAAAAAUAUGACAUUAUCUUAUGAGACUACCAUCAUCAAGGAGGUCCAUCAUUGACUGAAAUGUCAUUAUGCAGUGCAUGACUGUACUCUCAACUGGGGCCAUAAUGGGGGUAACCUGGUUUUCUAGAAUUCUCUCAGCAUCCUUCUGUUUGACUGCCAGCUAUGUAUCUCUCUGCCAAAGGUUACCUAUAAAAGGAUCUAGACGUAUCAAGCAAUAACAUUGCAGCAAUACUAUAAAUACAUUUUAAAGCUCAAUGUUUUUUAUUUUAUGAUAUCUGAUGACAAUAUUGGAAAUUAAAAAGGUUACUGCUACUGUCUUAACAUCUGUACAUUUCAACUAUCCUAUUUGAACAUGGUAUUUUUACCUUCUAUGUCAUGCUUUUUGUGUGUGUGCAUCCAUUCUUCUCUUACUUAUAGACCCAGUAAAAGGAAAUAUUCUUUCUCAGCAAGAGAAUCUGUGUGCAGUGGACAAGUGGAUGUCUCUAACUGAAGUGCUUGCUUUGAAUCUUCCUCCAUUACUUAAUCAGUCUGUGACUCUAAGCAAUGUACUUAUUCUCUCUGAGCCUUGAUUUCCUCUUCUGUAAAAAAGAGAAAAUAAUAGGACCUAUGUUAUGAGAAUACUUUGAGGAUUAAAUUACCUAAUAAGUGUAAAAUAUUUGAACAGUGUCAAACUCAAUGUCCAUACCCAUUUAAUUUUGAUUAUUUAUUCUUUUUCCUCAUGCCUAUUUCAAAACUCAUCUACACAAGCUACACUUCAAUGCCCAAACUAGCGAUAAUUCAAAACUUAUUUCUGGCCACCACAUAUCACAAUGCUCUUUCCAUUCCUGGAUUUCUAUAGAUUCUACAUUAAAAAGCAAAUUUUUAAUCUCAUUGGAUUCAUAAUAACCGU